AGCGGCUCUCUGCCUGUACUGACACUGAGCUCGAAAGCGUGGGGAGCAAACAGGAUUAGAUACCCUGUAGUCACGCCGUAAACGAUGAGUGCUAGCUGUAGGAGCUAUAAGUUCUCUGUAGCGCAGCUAACGCAUUAAGCACUCCGCCUGGGGAGUACGACCGCAAGGUUGAAACUCAAAGGAAUUGACGGGGGCCCGCACAAGCGGUGGAGCAUGUGGUUUAAUUCGAAGCAACGCGAAGAACCUUACCAGGUCUUGACAUACUCGUGCUAUCCUUAGAGAUAAGGAGUUCCUUCGGGACACGGGAUACAGGUGGUGCAUGGUUGUCGUCAGCUCGUGUCGUGAGAUGUUGGGUUAAGUCCCGCAACGAGCGCAACCCUUAUUACUAGUUGCCAUCAUUAAGUUGGGCACUCUAGUGAGACUGCCGAUAAUAAACCGGAGGAAGGUGGGGAUGACGUCAAAUCAUCAUGCCCCUUAUGACCUGGGCUACACACGUGCUACAAUGGAUGGUACAACGAGUCGCCAACCCGCGAGGGUGCGCUAAUCUCUUAAAACCAUUCUCAGUUCGGAUUGCAGGCUGCAACUCGCCUGCAUGAAGUCGGAAUCGCUAGUAAUCGCGGAUCAGCACGCCGCGGUGAAUACGUUCCCGGGCCUUGUACACACCGCCCGUCACACCACGGAAGUUGGGAGUACCCAAAGUAGGUUGCCUAACCGCAAGGAGGGCGCUUCCUAAGGUAAGACCGAUGACUGGGGUGAAGUCUUAACAAGGUA
rnacentral:rRNA from 1 species